rnacentral:tRNA from 1 species
GGAGCGGUGAAGUUCAGUUGGUUAAAUACCUGCCUGUCACGCAGGGGGUCGUGGGUUCGGAGUCCCGUCCGUUCCGCCA